GUAGAAAAGGAAAAGUGAAAUGAUGAAUACGCAGCUGCACAUCGGUGACGAGAAGUUUCAUUGUCUGGUAUGUGAGCAACAAAUUAUUUGUUCAGAUGAACAGAUGUCGACUUCAAAUGGUGAAAAGUUUGGUUCACAAAAUGCCAUGCAAUUUGAAAAUGUAAAGAUGUUAAAGAACAUACAAGAUUCUGCUUAUCUUACAUCUUUUUUCAAUCUCUUUCUUCAUCGUCUUUUCUUAUGGAUAUAAAACUGUGAACACCUCUGCCUCUCUCUCAUCUCUGUGUUGAUGAAAGUUUUAACAAAAUUUUUUUUUUUUCUCUCAGUGGUCUUAAUGGAUUUCUCAGUUGAUGGAAGCACAGUGAUUGAGGUCAGUUUUAGCUUUUGUACCAGGACACUUCCUUUAGAGAUGAUUUUUUUGUCUGCCGUCUAGGCACCAAUCCCAAUUACUCUUUAGAAAAGAAUCUUAAACUAUAAUCUCAUCAGCAGGUGUGAACGUCCCCAUCUCAUUAAACAUGUGAAUGGAGGAUUGGGUCAAAGCCCAAACAGCCCACGGUCGACCGUCCUCUUUGGUUGCGCCUCUUUUCUUCUUGUCCGGCCAAUUCCGGUCGUCUAUCCAACAUUCCAUCCACGCAGGAAACCCAACUUCAUCUUAGCGAGGUAAGUUUCACUAAGCUCCUUCAAACCUCCCUUUCAAAUGAACUCUUUUUCAUUGUUGUCUGAAGAUCAAUAUCAAAUACGUUCCCUUCUCCAAAAUUUGAGCACAACCGUUCUCAUCCAAACCAAAGCCUAAAGAUUCUGAACUUUUUGGACUUUCAGCAUGUCAAGCACUUAUACCAAUUUUUCAAACAAACUCAUGAAAGAAUCAUGGGCUAUGUUUAUACACUCUCUCUUAUCCUUCGAUCAAAAGAUUAGACAAAAAUUCACACAAUGUCUUCUAAUUCGUUAUUAUGGCCCACCUCCAUUUAUGAUCUUCACAUGUAACCUAAUCUCCCCAGCAUUAUUCUUUUCUUCCCAACCACACCAAUUUCUGACCCUUUUCAGUAGACAUGCUCACAAUAAAUGGACCACUGACAUUUCUCGUCGCCUUUUGUAUAGGCUACAGUUAACUUCAGUUGUAUUUUAUUGCUUAGAUUAUAGUUAAUUCAUCAUUGUCAUAGUCAUGUGACCGUCACCGUUACCACCAUUGCCUACUCUAUUAGGCUACACAAUCAUACAUCAAUAUUUGUAGUAGUAUGCUAGGCUAGCUUAAACUAUGUUUACGUUCACAUAUUUCUUUCUCAUUUUUAGUCUAUAAUAAUUUGUGUUUUGAUCUUGAACAACAAAUUUCUUUUUCAAUUACAUUCCAGUUUUUUUUUCUUUAGGUAAUGUAUCAACUUCAAGUUUUCUCUAGUGAGUAAUGAUUUGAUAUUCUUCCGUCAUAUCAGCUAUAUAAAGUGUAAGAUGAAUGAACCAAAGUGGCACCCAUUAGAAACAAAAUCAAGCACUACAGUACGCUUCUUGACAGCUACUCCCUUCGGGUUUACAUCUUCCAAAUCAUUUCUAACGAACAAAAUUGACUGGAGUUGGAAUCCCCUCCCCUCCCCUCCCCUCUUAUUCUAUUUUGUAGCUACAAUUAUAGUUUGGGUUGGAGGGGAAAGUUUCUCAACAAGAACAAAACUUCAUCUUGGAUAUAAGCACAACAGAAGGACAAAGAAACAGCAGUAGAUUCCUCCUUUUUUCUUUCAAAUAAACUUCCCGACACAAUAAAAAAACACACAGAAUGAAAACUUGGGUGAAUUAGAAGAGCCUUCACAGACCUCCUGCAUAAGUAUAUAACCAGCAUACCUGUAUGACGGGCAGCAGAGGCUCGCCGAGGCCACCCAACUGAAGAAAAAAGUGAAAGAUUUAAUGGGGUGUGUUGAGGGGAAUGAAGCCUGGUCCGAAAUCAUUCAAAACUUAAAAGAGUUUGAUUGUUUCAAAUUCAAAGGAUGAAAGAUCUCGCACCAGACAACAUUCCCCUCAACUGUUCAUAAAGAGAGAGAGAGAGAGAAAAGAAGUGUAAAGAUGGAACGAAAAGAAAGAAAGAAAGAAAGAAAGAAAGAGAGAAGGGGUUUGAUUGAGAUUUGAUUUGGCCAUGCAUUAUUUUUAACUUUCAUGGGGUCCUUUUAUACGUAAUAUGGAAAGGCUUUUGUUGGGUAUGGGCAUUGUGACAUGGACUCCACUUUCUACCCUCUCAUCUAAACCAUCUUUUCGNUUUUUUUUUUUUUUUUUUUUUUUUUUUUUUUUUUUCAGUUUUCACACCAAAAAAUGGCUACUUUCCAUGCUCAUUUCUUGAGGAAUCUCUCACAAUAUUGCAUCUUUAUGUCUAUCUACUGACUAAUAUUUAUCCUGCAAAGAUCAUUUUGGGUUAUUAAAUGUUUAGAAGUUAGUUGUGUGGAUGUUGGAUAUUGUUGUGGAUGGAAAGGCAGGGGCAGAAGGAAGGCGACACUGUGGGACUUGAAGAACAUAAAGAAAUUAAAUUUUGGUAUUCCUUUCAUUCGCACCACCCAAAUCUUAUGCUUAUGCCUGCAAAGAUGAUGAUAAAUACUUUUUAAAGAACUACCAACUCCCAUAAUUAUAGUAUGAUUAGAUGCUAAUAUAGUCAACUAUGAUAAUGACACAUUAAAAGAGAUUUAAAUUAAUGUAUUAAACAAUAGGAUAUAUUCUGAAUGCCAAACAUAUUUUGACAU